AUUAUUAUGCGGAAUGCUCACGGCCUCGGCGCGGCCGCGCCGCAUCCCUUCAUGGACACUUGCGUGGAUCAACUCGUCGUGGACGACAAGAUCGCCCUGCUGCGGCAGCGUCGAAAAGAUCGUGAAGUUAGCGACGUAGCCGCCGCCGAAAUGGAGCGCGGUCUCCGCGCCAAAAUAGGAAGCGGCCUCGCUUUCGAGCGCCUCGUGCUCGUCGUGAUUUCCGCGCAGCAGACGCGAUCCGCCGGAUCC
rnacentral:misc_RNA from 1 species